AGAUGGGUUAAAAUGGGACAUAUUUAUUAAAAAAAUUAGUAGGUUCGUUACAAAUAUUGAAUUAAAAUAGAGGAUAUUCUACUUCAGCUUCAAGCUAUUAUUGACUUGUAAGAGGCAAUCAUUAGUCUUCCUCCUGAAUCUGACAUACUUGAUCAGCUUAAAUGGGUUGUCUCCUGAAUUCAUGAAAACCAGCUCAGAGACAUUGGUGGUUUGCAUCGCCUAAACAAAAAAUAGUUAUUUUUUCCCCAUAAUUCAUAUUACAACAUGAGGAUAUAUGAAACAGUUGGGCUCAGUUUACCACUUUCAACGCACAUCUGAAGCUCAUUCGAACGUGCCCCAUGCAAUGUAGCUCUAAAAGAUCCUUCUAAGACGGGCAAUAGCAAAACAUAGAAGGUUUUCUCACCAGAUAAUGGCAAAGUAUCUCUGUCGCUGAGUGCACUCUCUUCCUUCACUUCCAAGAGAAGCAUUUGAUUUUCCAUUGGGAUUUCACAGGCUAAUUUCCCUGCACGUGGUAUCAUCCACCAAAUUUUGUGUCUGAAGAGACACAAGAACUGAAAUUCUCGGCAAUUUUCACCAAUGAGGCUAGCCAAACAUGAACUUAGCCAACGAGAUAGCACUCCCAAUAGUGAGAAAAUUUACAUCCAAAUCGGAUAAGAACUAACCAUUACAUAAGGUACUCGUAGUUUCACCAAUGAAAAAUGGUACAAACUAUAUGCUAAGCAAUGUAGGAAAACGAAUAUAGAUAGCGAAUUCGUAAACGGAAAAAGCAGAGAACUUACUAAAAAACCCCAAGAGAAAAAACGUGUCUAGAGCUGGGUAUUGAUGAAGUUGCACCAAAGAAGAAAGCACCGGAGAUACUUUCACGUUAAACAGCACUCCCGUCAACAAGGUCUUACCUUUUACCAACACCAUACCAUCCUCGAUGCUGCUGCCAUCACUUUACUGUUUUCCCGAUCAAAGGACUUAUUAAAAGCUUCAAAAAGGGUGAUACAAGGACUUACUAGUGUACAAUGAACUGGGUUUCGACAAUUAAAUUAGGAACAGAGGAAGAAGAAGAAGAGUAGAAAAUAUGUCAUUUCAGAAGAAGAAGUUACUAAAAUUAACUUUUUGAUACUGCGACGGACAGUUUGGGAAUUUAAUUUAUAUUGGAACAAAAAAAACCCUCAUUUCCUCCACUAUCUCUUUCCUCACCUCACUCUUUUUCUCUCUAAAACUCCGACAAAGAAAGCCAUCCAGCCGCACCACCGUUAACUGGAGAUGGCGUCUGAGAAUAACGUUCGUCCACAAAGUGCUAAUGCGGCUAUAGAUAAAUCUAAGGGAAAGAAUAAAGUUUCUAAAACUAGAGGUUGCGCUUCCUCUCCGAUUGCAGGUACACAGAGUCGCAGGUUUUCUCCCUCCACCCAAUCUAGGAAUGUGAUGUCGGAUUCCAUUAAAUCAUCUUAUCCUGAUGCUUGGAGUAUCUGGAGAGAGAUACCUGUCUUUGUGAGAGACCAGAUGUGGAAUCACUUUAGGAAGGAGUGUGUAUGGGAUCCCAAACAUGAUUAUCAGAUAUUUUGUAAUUUUGAGAAACAAGCUGCUGAUACGCUUUAUGAUAUGUUAUGGACUUCUUGGAAAAAUGACCAGAAGCCCUAUUUCAUGCCAGAGGGUAUAUGGGCUAGACUUGAUGAAAAGUGAACCGCUGAGAAAUUCCAAAAGACGAGCAGCCAAGCAAAGGCACCCCGAGCCUCCAACAAGGGUAACUCGUUGCACAUCGGGAGUUCAGCUAGUAUGGGGAGUCAUGGAAAAAAAUUGGUUACUUGUUAAUGUUCCUUGAUUUUAACUAAAUGCAAUUGAACUUGUAUUCAACUCAUAUUUUUUUGCAGGAAAAGAAAAAAGGGAGAAGUAUGAAUUAUGAUGAGGUCUUUGAGGAGGAGCAACGUGUGAAAAAUAAAAAGGAUGGUCAUAGAACUUUGGUCGAGCCACAUGUUGAGAGGACAAAUGUUGGGUAUAAAAAAAGCUUGGAUGAAUGGCGUCGAAGUCCGCUUACUUCUGAGGAUGAUAGCUCAACCCAACCAUCAGAUGAUGAUGAUGAAGCUUCAAUACUACCGGAAGCAAUUGGUGGCGUAAAGGAAGCUAAAGCACGCGGUCUUGGAUCACAGCGUUGCAUAGUUUGUGAGGAAGAGAUAGAUUCAUUGAGAAGACAAGUACAAAAGUUGUCGAAAAAGCAAAAAGCAUGCCGUAUAAGAUUUAAUAGUCUGGAGGAUCUAUUGUAUCGUCUCAUGGAAUUUUGUCGACCUGAUCGGUCUGACUAAGACUCUGAUAGCGAGAAUUAAUUAGUUUGUUGUGCUUGUUUGAUUUGGUUGGGACUGUGACUCUUUGAAUGUCUAGACUGCUUUUGGAUGUUACUUG